CAUCGGAGGCCACAAAUGAACCUCCCGAGGACGUUCUGCUGAAACACACUUGCUUGCCUUGAAGAUCAUCCUUAUUAAUUUCAGGUCUUGGUGGAUUCCAUUUUACCUGACCUGCAUUAAAAAAUUCCUCAGUGCAAGGUUUAGUGGUUUUCAUUUGAUUCCAAGCCUUUUACUCAAGCCAAGGAUGUUAUUAUAGAUGACUUACCAUUCUCGAUCCAGCCAGCCAGCUCCAAAUUGUGGUCCAGAUCAUAUCAUAUACAAAUUUGAGACUACCAUCCAGAAGACCAAGACUCAAUCAACGUACCGUCAUGCUUCCAGACUUAUCAAGGACUAAACACACAAUUCUUUGUCUGAUCUGCAACAAUGAGAAGGUGGGCUUCGGUGGCUGUGUUGUCAUAGGAGUGGUUUUCUUAAAGUCCUCCGAACCUUGGAUCACUUCCCAUGUGCUUCGGAGAUUGCAUUUUUUGUUUUGCUCGUUUGGGGCUUCUUUAUUGUGGUUUUUUUCUGUACAGAAUUCAACCACCUGAAAUUGUCAAUAAAAUGAUAUAGAUAACAGUAAA